AUCGCUUCUCGGCCUUUUGGCUAAGAUCAAGUGUAGGUAUCAUUGGCCAUCUACUGAAAAGCCAAGUUGAUAUGGUGAGGAUUCAUGUGAACUUUUCAUUAAUAGGGUAUAGUCCUUGAAUCAAAACUGUUUGUCAUCCUAUAUAUUUGCAGUAGUUUUUAAAAGAACUGCAUCCUGAGAAUUUUUCAA